rnacentral:rRNA from 1 species
UGGGGAAUAUUGCACAAUGGGCGAAAGCCUGAUGCAGCAACGCCGCGUGAGUGAUGAAGGCCUUCGGGUUGUAAAGCUCUGUCUUUUGGGACGAUAAUGACGGUACCAAAGGAGGAAGCCACGGCUAACUACGUGCCAGCAGCCGCGGUAAUACGUAGGUGGCAAGCGUUGUCCGGAUUUACUGGGCGUAAAGGAUGCGUAGGCGGAUUUUUAAGUGAGAUGUGAAAACCCUAAGCUUAACUUGGGGACUGCAUUUCAUACUGGAAAUCUAGAGUGCGGGAGAGGAGAAUGGAAUUCCUAGUGUAGCGGUGAAAAUGCGUAGAGAUUAGGAAGAACACCAGUGGCGAAGGCGAUUCUCUGGACCGUAACUGACGCUGAGGCAUGAAAAGCGUGGGUAGCAAAACAGGAUUAGAUACCCUGGUAGUCCACGCCGUAAACGAUGAGUACUAGGUGUAGGAGGUAUCGACCCCUUCUGUGCCGCAGUUAACACAAUAAGUACUCCGCCUGGGAAGUACGAUCGCAAGAUUAAAAACUUAAAGGAAAUUGAC